UCAUCAGGUCUGAGCCGUGUCUGAGCCGUGUGAAAAACCACCUGUGUGCCGCAACUGGGCAAACAAAGAAGUUCAACACACAGGAUGAGGCGCCGCCAUGUUCCUCAGUAGACUGAGGCUGGUACUGCAGGAUCAGGGUCAGUCCAGGUCUAACCACCUGCUCAUCUGAGGGGCUCGCAGAGACAGAGAGACAGGGGACCAGCAGAGAGAGAGAGACGGGGGACCAGCAGAGACAGAGAGACAGGGGACCAGCAGAGAGAGAGACAGACAGGCACCGGCCAAGAUACUCAAAGCCUCUGUGGUAGUUUGUGCUACAGUACGACACAUUGUCAUGAUCUCACACACACACACACACACACACACCUGACCUGACCUGACCUCUCUCAGUCUGCUCAGUGUCAGGUUGUGCUGAUAAACUGACCUGCAGUCAGUUUCUGGAUGUUUGUCCUCCUCAGAAAGCGACGCUGACCGAGUCCACUCCACAGGUUACCUCGUCCUGUAGAAGACACGCCCACACAGCUCCAGAAGCCUCGACGUCUGGGGGCAGAGAGGUGACGGGUCACCUGGCGCCUGUAGAGUUGAGUCCAGAUGCUCCUCUUCCUCUUCCUCCUCCUCCUCAGAUGCUGAUUCACCAUCUGAAAGACGGGAACCAAACACACUGAGAAAGUCCAGAUCCCACAGGUCCCAGCUGAGAACCUGGUUACUGACACGCCAACCACUCUCUGUCAAGCUGCAGUAUGAAGAGCACCGGCACAGUGGGAUCACAGCUCGCUCAGCUACAGGUGUGACUCAGGUAAAUAUCCACCGAGACCAGCUCAUUGGACUGCAGCUCUGUGACUCACCUGCAGACCCGGCAGCGAUGGCGGCUCUUUCUUCACCGGCAGGAUGGGGUCAAAGGUCACUGUCCUGGACCGGGUCAACUGAUCCACCAGAACCUGAGAGAAGCUGAAACAUCAGCAGAGAGAGAUGGAGAGGAGAAGCUGAAUUUGUACCUGAUUCAGCUCUUUGAUGAGGUGGAUGUGAAAAUCACCCCUUCAUCAAAAAGACUAAAUAAAAACAAAAUACUAAAUAUUUCUCAAAGGUCCACGAGACGUUAGAUGAUGGGAAAUGGAAUAUCAAUUCUGAAGUGAUGGACUUAUCUAAUUCAGAUGAUGGGGGUGCGGAGCGUGUCUCACCGCUCAUGGAGGGAAACUGCUGAGGUACUUCUCAGGAACAGUGAACCUGGUUUUGGUGAAUCCAUCUGUUUUCUGCUUCCUGGACUCAUUCAACUGCAACACACAACACCGCGAUGGCUGGUAAAACUCAGCUGAGCCGCAUCUCGUUCACCUGCGGACUAAUUAACAAAGGUAAACCGGAAACGCGCCACGUCCCGCUAAAACUGUGGGAGCGAACAGGCAGGCAAACAUGACCAGAAAUCAAUUAUCAAUAAAAUGUAUAAUUUAUCAAAUA